rnacentral:lncRNA from 1 species
UUGUUAAUGGCUCUCCUACUAGGAGCCUGACAUCAUGGUGAGCAUCGAGAAAGGAAUAACCUAAGCUGAAGACACGCCUUUUCUUCAGGAGGCCAAGUUCCACGUUCUGUGCAUGCUUUUGGCGAAAGUCAGGUGCCGAGACAUGAACUUUGGUCUUCUCUGCAAUCCAUCUGGAGCAUUCAGUGACAACAUCGACUUUGAAGUUGCACUGACCUGGCCAGCCCUGCCACUUACCAGGUUGGGCUCUUGAGUUUCUGCUUUCAAGUGACCCUCAGAAAUUCCCCCAUUCACUGCAGAGGUUCUGUUUCUCCUUGCUUUGUUCUGACUUUACGGCAGAACUAAGCUGAUGAGUUAGUUACUAUGGGUUAUCACUUGGAUUUGAAGAACCAUCAUUUCUAGGCAUUGCUGCUCAGAGUGGGUCUGCCCUCAGGGGAAGCUGUCUAACCAGAGCCUAACCCACUAGGGUUUUAUCAGAACCUAACUGACCUGAGGAAAAGAAAUAUUCAACUCCAGCAAGCUCCAGCCUUCCAAAUGGAGGAGAAGAAAACCCAACUCCAGCCCACUUCAGCUAUCUUGUCCCACAUAAAGGGGAAGUGGAAGAAACCUGAGAAGCAGGCAUGAAGUUCACAGUCCAGAGGUACAGACACAUCAGAGUUCAGUAUCUGAUGAAUUAGAUGCAAAAACCUCAACAAAGUAUUAGCAAAUUGAAUUCAACAAUGUAUGAAAAUUAUUACAUGCCAUGACUAAUUGGAAUUUAUCUCAGGUAUACAAGCCAUGCUGAACAUCUGAAAAUCAAUUCAUGUGAUCCAUCACAUUAGCAGACUCAAGAAAAAAAACCACAUUAUCAUAUCAGUAGAUGUAGAAAAAAAAAUUUAACAAAAUCCAGCACCCAUUCACAAUGAAAAUGCCCAGUAAAUUAGAAAUAGAAGGUAACUUCCUCAAAUUGAUAAGGAAUAUCUCUAAAAACCUACAACUAAAAUCAUACUUAAUGGUAGAAAACUAGAAGCCUUCCCAGUAAGAGUAAGAACAAGGCAAAGAUGUAUGCUCUCACCAAUGCUUUUCAACAUCAUAUAUUGGAAGUCCUAGCUAGUGCAAUAAGCAAAAAAAAAAAAAAAAAAAAAAAAGUUAUGUUAAUAAGAACAAAAACUGUGUUUGUUUGCAGAUGACAUGAUUUUCUAUGCAAAAAA